rnacentral:misc_RNA from 1 species
ACUACUGCCACUGUAAUUUCACUAAUUCAUAAUAUGUCUCCUCCCAAGAAAGCUUCUUAACAUUUUCCUGUAACAUCAAAAUUACUUGCUAUGUCAAGGGUAACAGGGCAAUAUCCUAUACUCACUUUAUUGUUUCAAAUUGCCUUACAUUGUUUAGUGCAUUGGAAAAUUUAUCAAUUAGUGAAAUAGGAGUUUGGUUUCCCUGAUAGUUAGAUGAGACUAUUAUCUUAGAAUCAUGAAGUGAUUAGUAAUUUGAAUUUUUAGUUGUGUCAUCCUGAGAAUGGACAAAACAUUGAAUGGCUAAAAUGGUGAUUUUU